CUCACCGGCACCCACCCUCGUCUUCUCUAACCCUAGCCAUCUUUCCACCGCCGCCACCCACCCCUCGUCUUCUCCUCCAUUUCCCCCAACCGCCGCCAUCGCCACUGCCCACCAAAAACUUACUCCUCUCUUUCCUUCCAUCUCGUCAGAUCCCGAUUUCCCGAUCCUCCCUUCUCUCUCCGAUUCCGCAUAGAUCUGGCCCUCCCAGAGCCAGAUCCCCACCUUCUCCGUGACCCAAUAUACCGUGAACAAUGUCCUCGUCCGCGGUGGUAGCGCCAGUGUGCCCAAUAUGCCCACAUGGCCGGCCUCGGCGGCGGCGCGCGACCUGGGAUGGACCACUUCACGUCACCGGAAGAUCUGCCCUCCUGGUCUUCGGAUCUUGUCAUAGGCCAAACCAGUCUGGGUCGGAUGUGGAGAUCAAGGCGAUGGAAGCCUUCGUCAUCGAUGAUUUCUAGCUAGCGGUCGAGGUCUACGUCAACUGCAUCAGCGCCAUCUUCGAUAUUUAGCGCGCGCACGAGUCUAUCAGCGGCGCUCGCAAGAGCGGCGAUGCACUCAUCUCCUCCGAGGAGUUCAUGGUCAUGGUGGCGCCUGCUUCGCCGACAUCGCGUGCGCCAGAUCUGAGGUACACACGAUGUGACAUAGUUCACGGCGGAUCUGGUCACGGGGUCACCGAACCACGACUUCACCAGGCCAGCUCGCCAUCACCAACCUCCCCGUGUGGUAGCCCGUGCUUUUUAGCAGGUAUCCACAUCUGUGAAGAAGAGGAAGGGGUACAAUCAGUCACCUCCUGAUCUGGAGGAGGACGUGAUGUUGCUGAUGAGCUGGAGGGCAAGUGAGAAGGUUGCUAGCGACGAGGAUGUGAAGGAGUAGACCUGAUGCUUACCUGUGUGAUGGAGCGCAUCAAACACGGCCACGGCAUCGCGUUUGCAGUGUGAGUUCUCCGCAGCGGCACUUCCUUCUAUGGAGUAGAUAAGUGUUUGGUUUUCUUUGUUAUCAAGUUGAUAGGCCAUGUUACCGUGACGUUAUUCUGUGACAUGGAAUCUAUGGUCUGCAUAGCAUUGUAUGAGCAUAUGGUUCAGUCUAUGUUAUGUUCCUUAAUGGUCACCGCUGUACAUGUUCCUUUCUGUUUGGAGUCUGAUAUAAGCGAUAAUGAUCUCUGUAAAAUUAGUAAUGUCCCAAGUCAUGCAUUCUCUGAAGAAGUACAUGCUUAUAUUUGAGCGAAUUUUUUUUAAGCGAUGCAGUAGACUAGUAGUAUUGUUUAAUGAAUUAUUCUUAUUCUCAUGGUCUCGGUUGUAUACAUUGUUGAUAUACUAUACAUCAUAUUUUCCUCCAGUAGCAGUAGUAUUACUACUAGUUUACUAUAUAGUCAUAUAGUAUACCACAUGUAUACAUGAUAUUUUCCUCCAGUAGCAGUAUUACUAAUGGUUUAUGUAUAGCCAUAUAAGUAUACCAUGUCUAACAAAAAUUCGUUUCUAUCAUCAAUUUGGUAGCCCAGGUCCUCAAGUACUUAAUAUGUACAUCAUGAGCUUUUAUAACUUAUUUUGAGUUUGCUUUUAACACCUUGGCCUUGUUAUUCGAGAAGAUGCCACUGACAACAUACUUGGAAGUUGUAUGUAGUAGUCAAAGGCAAAUAUUUCUUUAGCAAAUGAGGUUAUUCUGCUCCGCAUGUUUGCUUAUUUUGUUUGGUCAAGUGUCUAUAUUGUUUCUAUAAAAGGCAAUUCUGAAAUUUGAUAUUUUCGAACUGUAGUCCAGCUUGUUCUGUAAUGUGUGUUUCUUAUAAUGAACAUUCUAUUAUUUUGACGCUGCAAUUGUAGAAGAACUAUGACGAUAUCUUUCUGACAUGUUUGCUUAUCUCACAAUUUUUAAAAACUUUCGAAUUGCAGGAGCAGUACAAGAACAGGAAGAUUCAGUGCUACUGUUACUGAACUACACGGCCAGGUGGUUGUAGGUAGCCAUCUGUUGGGAAAUAAUGCUGGAGCGAGCGGUGCACACUGGAAGCAGUUGGCAGGUUGCCGUGAUCACAUCAACUAUUAUCUAGCUUGUUGCCUACAAGAAGUCUUGAUGAUGCAGCAGCUACAAGGCGGACCUGUAGGUUGGGAGAGGUCAUGCUAAUGCAGUUGACAGGCGUUUGAUAGCUAUGUUAUUAUUGCGUUUGAUAGCUAUGUUAUCAUUGUAUUUAUCUGACUAAAGCCGUGGAAAUAGUGUAACGGA